GACGAACGCUGGCGGCGUGCUUAACACAUGCAAGUCGAACGGAAAGGCCCUGCUUGCAGGGUGCUCGAGUGGCGAACGGGUGAGUAACACGUGGGUGAUCUGCCCCUUACUUUGGGAUAAGCCUGGGAAACUGGGUCUAAUACUGGAUAGGACCAUGCUGUAGGUGGUGUGGUGGAAAGAUUAGUUUCGGUAGGGGAUGAGCUCGCGGCCUAUCAGCUUGUUGGUGGGGUAAUGGCCUACCAAGGCGUCGACGGGUAGCCGGCCUGAGAGGGUGGACGGCCGCAUUGGGACUGAGAUACGGCCCAGACUCCUACGGGAGGCAGCAGUGGGGAAUAUUGCACAAUGGGCGCAAGCCUGAUGCAGCGACGCCGCGUGGGGGAUGACGGCCUUCGGGUUGUAAACUCCUUUCAGCCAUGACGAAGCCCUUGUGGUGACGGUAGUGGUAGAGGAAGCACCGGCUAACUACGUG
rnacentral:rRNA from 1 species